GAUGAACGCUGGCGGCGUGCCUUAUACAUGCAAGUUGAGCGGUAACAGUUCCUCACUUUUCUUUUGAAUCUUAAGUAUUCGAAGGCGAAGUGAGGAAGCUGACGAGCGGCGAACGGGUGAGUAAUACGUAGGAACCUGCCUCAAAGUGAGGGAUAACCUAUCGAAAGGUAGGCUAAUACCGCAUAUGGUCUUUAGAUUAAAGCCUUCGGGCGCUUUGAGAAGGGCCUGCGCAAGAUUAGUUUGUUGGUGAGGUAAUGGCUCACCAAGACGAUGAUCUUUAGCUGGUUUGAGAGGAUGAUCAGCCACACUGGAACUGAGAUACGGUCCAGACUCCUACGGGAGGCAGCAGUAGGGAAUAUUCCACAAUGGGCGAAAGCCUGAUGGAGCAACGCCGCGUGCAGGAUUAAGGCCUUCGGGUUGUAAACUGCUUUUAUAUGUGAAGAAUAUGACGGUAGCAUAUGAAUAAGCCUCGGCUAACUCCGUG
rnacentral:rRNA from 1 species